rnacentral:lncRNA from 1 species
GGGUCUGGAACAUAGUAAGUCCUCAAUAAGUUCUAGCAAUUAUUAAAAAAGGAAAGGCUGUCUGCAAACAGGUGAUCUCAGAAGGGGGUUUGUGCCUCUCUAGGAAGGAAGCCUCAUUGUGGACAUCUGGGAGCAGGUACAUCCCAGCCUUCUUGCACAUAGAAACACUACACAGCACUUCAGCUGUAUGUUUGGGGGCCAUUUUAAACAGCAAAAUCAUCAACAGGAAGCAGAAAAUUGUAAAAAUUGUGGCACUAAAUAGACCAUGUAAAGGACACAUGUUUGCAAUAAGAAAGCUGAAACAAGAAGGGGGAGUGUCACCUUAUUUGAUCCAGCUAGAAACUCAGGUGCUGGUAUUCCAGCAACACUCAGGCGGCUGCUCCAGGAGGCUGCAGAGGGGUCCUUUUUAGCCGUCAACAAAACUGGCUAUGGUCACGCCCAUUGGGAAACUCAUUGCUGCCUUCAAGGUGAUGGCCACAGUGGCAGAACCUAGGAAGCCAAGAAGAAACCAGAGAAUGGAGACACAUGGCAGCAAUGGCAAGUCAUCAGACCCAGGAUUUCCCAAAGAACACUGGUCCAGGAAGAUGCUCUGUGAAAAAGUGUUCCCUGGUCGGAGAAAUUUGUGAAACACUUUGCAUAAUACUUAAAAGAAUGUAUGGCACAUCAAAGGUAAUAUGCAAUAAAAGAAUUCAUUUUUUUAAAA